GGGAUUAAGACCGGUGGGGUGGAAAUGAAAGGAAUUUACGGGGACCCGCGACUCGCUUUGGAGGAUGUGGUUUAAUUCGAAGCAACGCGAAGAACCUUACCAAAUCUUGACAUCCUUUGACAACUCUAGAGAUAGAGCUUUCCCCUUCGGGGGACAAAGUGACAGGUGGUGCAUGGUUGUCGUCAGCUCGUGUCGUGAGAUGUUGGGUUAAGUCCCGCAACGAGCGCAACCCUUAAGCUUAGUUGCCAUCAUUAAGUUGGGCACUCUAAGUUGACUGCCGGUGACAAACCGGAGGAAGGUGGGGAUGACGUCAAAUCAUCAUGCCCCUUAUGAUUUGGGCUACACACGUGCUACAAUGGACAAUACAAAGGGCAGCGAAACCGUGAGGUCAAGCAAAUCCCAUAAAGUUGUUCUCAGUUCGGAUUGUAGUCUGCAACUCGACUACAUGAAGCUGGAAUCGCUAGUAAUCGUAGAUCAGCAUGCUACGGUGAAUACGUUCCCGGGUCUUGUACACACCCCCCGUCACACC
rnacentral:rRNA from 1 species